rnacentral:rRNA from 1 species
GCCCGCUACAGAAACUUAAAUGAAUUGACGGGGCCCGGCACAAGCGGAGGAGCAUGUGGUUUAAUUCGAUGAUACGCGAGGAACCUUACCUGGGCUCGAACGUAAGAUGACUGUAGGUGAAAGCUUACAUCUCUUCGGAGCAUUUUACGAGGUGCUGCAUGGUUGUCGUCAGCUCGUGCCGUGAGGUGUCGGGUUAAGUCCCAUAACGAGCGCAACCCCUACCUUUAGUUGCCAUCAGGUUAAGCUGGGGACUCUAAAGGAACUGCCUACGCAAGUAGUGAGGAAGGCGGGGAUGACGUCAAAUCAGCACGGCCCUUACGUCCAGGGCUACACACGUGCUACAAUGGCCGAUACAGAGGGCAGCUACCUGGUGACAGGAUGCAAAUCUCCAAAGUCGGUCUCAGUUCGGAUCGGAGUCUGCAACCCGACUCCGUGAAGUUGGAUUCGCUAGUAAUCGCGCAUCAGCCAUGGCGCGGUGAAUACGUUCCCGGGCCUU